AAGACUAUACCUUCAGGGAUCAUUCCUUCUAUACUUUGUUACCAGAGAAGUUUCUCUGAUAGUGUAGAGCACCUGAAACCAUGAGAAGGAGUCAGAACACCCUUUCAUGAGAAUGAAGCCAAUUCUAGGUGAUGUUUUUGUAACUGUCUUUUACCAUUUUUGACGGUUCUCUUCCUCUGGCAGAAUGAGAUGGGGAGGAUGCAGUCUGAGUGGU